GCAUCUUUUAUCUUUUAAAAGACCUAGUAAUAGGUAUGCUUUAGGAGGGGCUUGCGCCAUAUUAGUUAGUUGGUAGGGUAAUGGCCUACCAAGACGAUGAUGUGUAGCUGGACUGAGAGGUUGAACAGCCACAUUGGGACUGAGACACGGCCCAAACUCCUACGGGAGGCAGCAGUAGGGAAUUUUCGGCAAUGGAGGAAACUCUGACCGAGCAACGCCGCGUGAAUGACGAAGUACUUCGGUAUGUAAAGUUCUUUUAUCAAGGAAGAAAAGCAAAUGGCGAACCAUUUGUUUGCCGGUACUUGAUGAAUAAGCCCCGGCUAAUUAUGUGCCAGCAGCCGCGGUAAGACAUAAGGGGCAAGUGUUAUCCGGAAUUAUUGGGCGUAAAGGGUGCGUAGGCGGUAUAGUAAGUCAGUGGUGUAAUGGCAACGCUUAACGUUGUCCGGCUAUUGAAACUGCUAAACUUGAGUUAGAUAGAGGCGAGUGGAAUUCCAUGUGUAGCGGUAAAAUGCGUAAAUAUAUGGAGGAACACCAGAGGCGUAGGCGGCUCGCUGGGUCUUAACUGACGCUGAGGCACGAAAGCGUGGGGAGCAAACAGGAUUAGAUACCCUGGUAGUCCACGCCGUAAACGAUGAGUACUAAGUGUCGGGUUAAACCGGUACUGAAGUUAACACAUUAAGUACUCCGCCUGAGUAGUACGUACGCAAGUAUGAAACUUAAAGGAAUUGACGGGACUCCGCACAAGCGGUGGAUCAUGUUGUUUAAUUCGAAGAUACCCGAAAAACCUUACCAGGUCUUGACAUGUUUUUGCAAAAUGAUAGUAAUAUCGUGGAGGUUACCAGAAACACAGGUGGUGCAUGGUUGUCGUCAGCUCGUGUCGUGAGAUGUUAGGUUAAGUCCUAAAACGAGCGAAACCCUUAUCGUUAGUUGCCAGCACGUUAUGGUGGGGACUUUAACGAGACUGCCAAUGAUAAAUUGGAGGAAGGUGAGGAUCACGUCAAAUCAGCAUGCCCCUUAUGACCUGGGCUACAAACGUGAUACAAUGGCUGUUACAAAGGGUAGCUGAAACGCAAGUUCUUGGCCAAUCCCCAAAAACAGUCCCAGUCCGGAUUGAAGUCUGCAACUCGACUUCAUGAAGUUGGAAUCGCUAGUAAUCGCGAAUCAGCAUGUCGCGGUGAAUACGUUCUCGGGGUUUGU
rnacentral:rRNA from 1 species